ACAGUAGUGAUUCAGUGGUAGAAUUCUCACCUUCCAAGGGGGAGAUCUGGGUUUGAUACCCAGCCAAUGCA
rnacentral:tRNA from 1 species